rnacentral:rRNA from 1 species
CCUACGGGAGGCAGCAGUAGGGAAUCUUCCACAAUGGGCGAAAGCCUGAUGGAGCAACGCCGCGUGGGUGACGAAGGUCUUCGGAUCUUAAAACUCUGUUGUUAGAGAAGUAAGUGCGUGAGAGUAUCUGUUCACGUUUCGACGUUAUCUAACCAGAAAGCCACGGCUAACUACGUGCCAGCAGCCGCGGUAAUACGUAGGUGGCAAGCGUUAUCCGGAUUUAUUGGGCGUAAAGGGAACGCAGGCGUUCUUUUAGGUCUGAUGUGAAAGCCUUCGGCUUAACCGGAGUAGUGCAUUGGAAACUUGGAGACUUGAGUGCAGAAGAGGAGAGUGGAAUUCCAUGUGUAGCGGUGAAAUGCGUAGAUAUAUGGAAGAACACCAGUGGCGAAAGCGGCUCUCUGGUCUGUAACUGACGCUGAGGUUCGAAAGCGUGGGUAGCAAACAGGAUUAGAUACCCGAGUAGUC